GUUUGCCCAAUUUUCAGGGUUGAAUGGUAGAUAAAACCCUGUAAAAAUGUGCUUCACUAACUGAAGAGCCCCUUAAAUCAGUAACGGUUCAAGCAUUUGACUUCAUCUUUGUACUAUCUGAGGAGCACCCACCACUGUUGGUAGCUUUUGCUGUUUGCUUCAAAAACUGGAUAAUACUUAGCAGCAUUGGAGAGCUCUCUCAAGGGCUAGGAUUGCUCAUAUACUUUUUAUAUAUAUGAUGGUGUAUCUAGCUAAGUGUUCUAUCCAUUUUUUUUAAUCUUGCUAUUUUUGCCUUUUCUUAGUAUUUGAUUUCGU
rnacentral:misc_RNA from 1 species